rnacentral:rRNA from 1 species
AAUAGAUACCCCGGUAGUCCUAGCCCUAAACGGUGCUUGCUUGCUGUAAGAGGAAUCGACCCCUCUUGUGGCGGAGCUAACGCGUUAAGCAAGCCGCCUGGGAAGUACGGUCGCAAGAUUAAAACUCAAAGAAAUUGACGGGGGCCUGCACAAGCGGUGGAGUAUGUGGCUUAAUUCGAUGCAACGCGAAGAACCUUACCAGGGCUUGACAUGCCGCGAAUCUUCUUGAAGGGAAGAGUGCCUACGGGAGCGCGGACACAGGUGGUGCAUGGCUGUCGUCAGCUCGCGUCGUGAGAUGUUGGGUUAAGUCCCGCAACGAGCGCAACCCUUGUCCUAUGUUGCCAGCGGGUAAAGCCGGGGACUCGUAGGAGACUGCCGGGGUCGAACUCGGAGGAAGGUGGGGACGACGUCAAGUCAUCAUGCCCCUUAUAUCCAGGGCUGCAAACAUGCUACAAUGGCCGGUACGAAAGGGCUGCUAUCCCGCGAGGGUGCGCGAAUCCCAAAAGCCGGUCUCAGUUCGGAUCGGAGU